AACGAACGCUGGCGGCAGGCUUAACACAUGCAAGUCGAACGCCCCGCCAGGGGAGUGGCAGACGGGUGGGUAACGCGUGGGAACAUACCCUUUUCUACGGACUACCUCUGGGAAACUGGAAUUAAUACCGAAUACGCCCUACGGGGGAAAGAUUUAUCGGGGAAGGAUUGGCCCGCGUUGGAUUAGCUAGUUGGUGGGGUAAAGGCCUACCAAGGCGACGAUCCAUAGCUGGUCUGAGAGGAUGAUCCGCCACAUUGGGACUGAGACACGGCCCAAACUCCUACGGGAGGCAGCAGUGGGGAAUAUUGGACAAUGGGCGCAAGCCUGAUCCAGCCAUGCCGCGUGAGUGAUGAAGGCCUUAGGGUUGUAAAGCUCUUUCACCGAUGAAGAUAAUGACGGUAGUCGGAGAAGAAGCCCCGGCUAACUUCGUG
rnacentral:rRNA from 1 species